CAUCUUGCUUGACAACGAGAGAGAGCACGCUUGUCAAUGUUCAUGCCAGUGUCAUGACUGUGUACAUGCGUGCUCUCUACCGUUGUCAUGUGAUGGAUGC
rnacentral:pre_miRNA from 1 species